rnacentral:lncRNA from 1 species
UCCAAGGAUUAUAGAAGCCAUGUUCCAGAAAACAAGAAACAGGUGAAUUGGACUGGCUUCAGUAGAAGCAUUGCCAUUUUCCCAGCCCAAGAAAAUGAGCCAUUGACAUACUGAAAGGACAUGUGAUGGUAGCAGCUCUUUAACUAUGAGUCCAUAGCUCCAGGGCACGCGAUUCUUCACUGGGUGUCUCUGAUCCUGACCUCAAUCUUGACUCUGUUCUUCGUGUCUCUGUACCUGGGGGGUGUUUAUACCUGCAGCAAGUCCACUGCUCACUCAGAGAAAGAGCUGGGUAACCCUCAAAGGUUCCUCAUGCUCUCAGAGAUACAGGACCAAGACACUACCACUAUCACGACUUCCUCACCACACUUUUCUGAUGGACUGGAAUAUCUUGGAACAGUGAGGUGUUUGUAAAUACUUCAGUGGAGAAAUACAAAGAGAAGAUGUGAAUGCCGGGAGAAGACUAUAACAUUAAAGCAGAAAUUGAUUUAAAAAUCCAACUUAGCAGAGGCAAUUACAAAUUCAAAGACGGAGCCCAAAUCAGAUCGGGCAGAGAAAAUGUGUUUGCUGCAAGGAAGGAAGUGAGCUUAUAUAACACCAAUUUCAAGUUGAUUUUGGACACAAACUUACCAAAUUUGACAACUGUCCUUGCAAAGCAAGAACAUUUUCACUUUGAGUGGGAACAAUGAAUGCUUUGUGUGUUUAAAACGUCCUUUCUUUAGUAUGAUAGCCUUUUAAGCAUUGAAUAUUGCGUUACUAUCUUUGAAUUUUUAAAUGGUGUCUACUUGCUAUGUAUUUUCUGUGAAUAUUCUAUUCUUUUAAUGCUGCUGGAGCUCAAAUG